GCAGGGGUAGCAAAGCCUGGUCAAAUGCGACAGGUUCAGGGCCUGUUCCUUUAGGGGUUCGAGGGUUCAAAUCCCUUCCCCUGCA
rnacentral:tRNA from 2 species